UGUCAAAGUGGUACAUAAAGUGACUGGUACAUAAGAUGUACAUAAAUUGUGUCAAUGUGAUGUAUAUAUUUACACGAAUAAUCUAUCUAUCUAUCUAUCUAUCUAUCUAUCUAUAAGCAUCAUAAGAUAAGAUUUAGACUUGAAUUAAAGUCGGCAAGAUAGGAAGUACAACAUCAGCUCAUGUGAGCUUUUGAACUUACUAAUGUUUGCAUAAAAUAACUGGAAAAAUAUGAAACCCUUCAAUAUUUCAAAGGCAUGUUGAUAUUAAUUUAGUUUUAUAAUAAUAAUAAUUUCUUUAUUUUACGAAGGUAAACUCAUUAUGCAAUCACAUAAGCAGAUACAAAUGAAAUCACAUAUUUACAAUUAGGCCUUCAACAAGGUACAAAGUAU
rnacentral:lncRNA from 1 species